GAGGGCUUAGUGGGCGGAGUACACCCUAUUACUUACUUUUGAAGUAGUUACAUGAUGUGAAUGUUUUGAGUACACACUGUCUGAUUGCAAACAAGUAUUUGGGAACAUCUGGGAGUGUGGAGAGAAGGGUGCUAAACAAAAAGGAUUGUUUUGCUGGUUCCAGAGCAGUGCUGCCUUUCAAGACAGUGCAUUGCUCUUCAGCUAUGGCUUCAUGUGAAUGGAAGCUCUGUUACUAACUUGCUGUGUAAUCCUGGGCCCGUCUGAGUUUUACUUCCCGAUAGCAGAGAAUUUGACCAACAUUGCUUCCAAUAUACAUGCUGGCUCUGACAGUUUGAGCCCAAGAUUCUCCUGCAGAAUAAUUGAAGCUUACCAACAUUAGAACAUUACAGACGGACCAGAGAGGAGAUUUCAAGGUAUUAAGUCUUG